GUGCUCACUUCAGCAGCACAUAUAAUAAAAUUGGAAUAAUACAAAGAACAUUAGCAUGACCCUGUGCAAGAAUGACAUGCAAAUUCGUUAAGCAUUCCAUAUUUUA